rnacentral:rRNA from 1 species
GUCCAGCAGCCGCGGUAAUACAUAGGGGUCAAGCGUUGUCCGGAUUUAUUGGGCGUAAAGAGCUCGUAGGCGGUUUAGCAAGUUGUAUUUGAAAGCCCUGGGCUCAACCUAGGAACUGCAUCCAAAACUACUAAGCUAGAGUGCGAGAGAGGAGAGUAGAAUUUCUGGUGUAGCGGUGAAAUGCGUAGAUAUCAGAAGGAAUACCAAUGGCGAAGGCAGCUCUCUGGCUCGUCACUGACGCUGAGUUGCGAAAGCAUGGGUAGCGAAGAGUAUUAGAUA